AGUUGGAAAAUGGACAAUGUGCUGUCGCUCUAGGAAGGAUGGGAUAAAGGGAUACAGGCAUUGAUAGCAGGAGGCAUGAAAUAAUGGAUGGGGAGAAAGGGAGAAAGGGAUGGCCUGGGAGCCGAGAACCAUCAGAAGGAAUGGACUGUAUCUUCUGCCACACACACACACACACACACAAAAAAAACCUCAUCUUUUUUUUUCCGCACGAAUCCAACAUCAGAUCAGCCACAUGAUUUUUGCAGCAACACCAAUCAUAGGCCGAAUUUUAGAUUUAAACCAUAUUCAUUUUUACUUGAACUUUAAGUUAAAUUUAUUUAAAAUUUGAAUUUUUCUGUGCCGAAGCUCAGCUCAGCUCAGCUCCGCAGAUAGACGAAGGACCGAGUUUGAAGCAUUUUAAGAUCUGUGCAACGAGUGAUUCAAUGAUUUGUGCACAGCACUCAAAGCGCUCCCAACUCUUGUCAUUCAUCCGUCAGCAUGCGAGCAGCCGAUCGAUGAUGCAACAGUGAAUUCGCGUGAAAGGAAGGCGACAGGCUUCUGUCGCUGAAACGCUAAGCCUCGACUGCUCGCACGCUUCCAUUCUCCAGCUCGCAAUUGUUUUACAGUCAAGCCCUCUUAUGGAGAAAUCACCAAAGGAGAUUGACAUGAAUAACGAGUUGGAGAUAACAAAGGAUGAUAUGGAGAGUGGAGAGUGGAUGCUUAGGUAGAAAGUGGAUGGUCAGCAGGGCACUCCUAAGUAGGUUGUCUACUCAAGAUUGAUCAGUACAAAUGAAUUAAGGAGACUGCACUGCUAACGAGCUGGAUAUUGGGAAAGAUGAGAUAGAAUGUGAAGAGGCAUGAAAACCCUAUAAACAUCUCCAAUUUUCCCUCCUCGUUCUCAUGCUUAAUUUAUAUGAAUGUACUUUUAUCCCGUGGUUAUAUUUCUUAUUUAUCUAUCUAUACUCCACUAUUCUUAUCUCUGGCGGAUGCUUAGAUGGAAACUGGAUGUUUCUUUAUUUAAAAAAGAGAUAUAUCGCAUAAUUAUCUUUUCAUGCUGAUAAAAGCAUAUGAUCCAGUUUAGCUAGGGAUCAAAAAAAUUGAUUAUGUUGCUCGUGCAGCUUGCUCAAAGUUCCUGAUUGUGUCACUAGCUAGUCAGGCUUGGAGGGUCAGGUUUUUCCGAUGACAUUCUUCUAUGGAGGAGGAUAUAAACAUUGCUAAAGUUUUUUCUUAAUCCUUCUUGACUUUAUGUUUCAUGUUCUUUGGGAAGGGUACUGUGGCCAGUUUUUACCAGUUUAAACCUGCUCAUCAUGAAGCUUUUGCUGUGCUUGAUAAGAGUGUUCAGUUUGGUCAGGUAUAGGCUCGAUGUGGGCCUAUUUAUUUCUUAGUUAGUUUAAGUAUAACUUGAGGAAAUUAGGCAUGUCCAGGCUUGAAUCUGGCCUAAUUAUUUCUAUACUAGAACUCAUGUUCAUGAAUGAACUUCCUGUAUCAAUUUAUGAAUUCUAUACCUAAUGAAGAGAAGGCUUGUUAUUUAAGGUCGCGUUUAUUCCUGAGGUUAUCUUUUUUGCAGCAUUGCUGUUUAGAAUGUUCUAGAUGGACGAUAUAUUGGUAAUCUGGAAUGACCUUGGAGAGAAAUCUGCAACUUCUGUCAGUUUGAAUAUCUUCUAUGUUUGGUCAUAUUGAAGUUUAAGAUCCUUUUGGCAAUAGAACUACAUCGAUCUGAAACAGUAACCUCGGAAUUGAAGUUUAGUGUAUUGUUCUAUAGUGAGUUCUGAGUCUUCUGAUAUUGCAGUGGGCUUCUGUGCAUCUCAAUUUUGAGAAAAAAAUUAUAUAUUAUAUAACGAGGAGUUAUAAUGUGCCUCGUAUGAUAUACGUAAUAACCUUUUAACUUGUAUGCAGGAUUAUGGUGUUAAUUAUCAUGUUGCUUGGCCUGCCAUUAUAUACAAUCAACUUAGUACAGCUACUAGAUAUUGCAGAUGCCUUUCCCUAGAUGGAAUAGACUGUGCAGUUUUCAUUAGGAAUAUUGGAAGAUUACAGACUUUCUAACUCCUAUUGCUUAACUUUAAGAAGAGUUUCAGAAGAAUGUGUGUUUUUAACAUAAUUAUUUUGUCUUUUUUGCAGUGCAUUUACAGUUGUUGGAAAUUAGAAGCAGUUGAACAUCUAAGGUUUAGAGAUUAUUUUGAUAAAUCUGACUCAGCAACAUCUGAUAGAUCCCAAAGAAAGCUUUUAAAGAACCAAGUUUAGAUGAUCGCAUGCUUAUGCCUAAAAAGCUAGCCUUCAUUACUUAGAGGCAAGUUUAUGUAGGUUAACUUUCCAGGAUCAAUAUGAUUGGUAUGUUCGAUUUCUCAAAUAUAGUUAACUAUGAACCACAUGCAUGUAACAGUAACUCAUUGACAUUUAAAAAAAAAAGAAAUUACUUUGAUUUAAUUGAUAUCAAUGCACAUUUCUCCUCGUUACAAUGGUCUGAUGAUACCAGCAAGUGCUUGGUCGGAUGGUAUCAACCUUUGCCAUUUAGGCAAUGGAGCGGAGCUUCAAUUCCCAUUGGAUUCUGCUCUCAGUGGGUUGCAUGGGUAUAGAGUAGUAAGGUGGGGAUUAGCUGGUUAGCCCCUCCUAAUCUCAAACAAAAAACAAUGCUGAAUUUAUGGGUGGGAAGAAAGGUCUAUUGAUUUUGUACUGCUAAAGCUGAAUUUUGCUGCUUCAAAAUGGCUUAAAGGUGAUAUUUUUAUUUACGACUCUUUUUUGGACUGUAUAUUAAUCUAAACACACAUUAUCUAAAUAUUUUAGACCUAUUUUUCCCAUUUCUUUUAGUACUGGUUAUUGGUUUGUUUGGAAAAACCAUAAUGUAACCUAACACACGAGGUAUAGUUGAGAAGCUUUAUAAUGAUAUUACUAAAUUUGUGGCGAUUUUA